rfam:Branchiostoma floridae genomic scaffold BRAFLscaffold_144, whole genome shotgun sequence.
UGCUACAGCCGCGUGGCGCGUUGGUCACCCGAUCCCUCGAUCUCGGAAGUUAAGCAACGCGACGGUCCGGACAGUGCUUGGAUGGGAGACCAACCAAGGACGUCCGGAUUGCUGUAGCCU